rnacentral:lncRNA from 1 species
ACAAGGUAAUGUUGCAAAUAAUUAAAAGCUCAUGUUACGAUCUGAUCAGUGCUUAUUUUAGGACACUAAGCUUGUCCUUGGGAAACCAUCAUUUUAUGUCGGCGAAGUGGUUUCCCCUCCAACGCUGACCUAUAUCAAGAUCAACUAAAUGAGAUCUGCAAUAUUUAUUAUAGACAUAUGUAUCGACAACCGCCCUUUUAAAGUUUUUAUAAAUAGAAAGGAUGAGGGGGAUGGAGAUCUCAAAUGUGGCGAUGUUGGAGCGACCAAAAGAUUGGGAAGAUGUUGCAUAUGAGCAUGGAGUAAAUGAAGUGGCUAUGAAAUAAAUUCCAUGCUCAUUAAAGCUUAGAGUGAAAUCCAUGUGGUGUGGUGAAAAUGGUAAGGUGAGUGUGGUAAAAAAAGGAAAAAAAAUACAUGGACGACUUGGUUCGAAACUAGCACAGCUACCGUUCCCCGGCAACGGCACCAGAAAGCUUGUUGGGUAUUUUAAAUGCAAACAGAAAAAUCCGCAAGCGCACGGAUACCGGUGUAGCUUUCACCUGGGAGUAUUCUAGAGUAUCAAUUUUCCACAGGGAACGUGAGUGUACUAAUUAAGAUUAGAGAUCGCCCAAGGAUAACUAUAUAAUUAUUUUUGG